rnacentral:rRNA from 1 species
UACGAAGGGUGCUAGCGUUGUUCGGAAUCACUGGGCGUAAAGCGCACGUAGGCGGCUGUGUCAGUCAGGGGUGAAAUCCCGGAGCUCAACUUCGGAACUGCCUUUGAUACAGCACGUCUUGAGUCCGAUAGAGGUGGGUGGAAUUCCUAGUGUAGAGGUGAAAUUCGUAGAUAUUAGGAAGAACACCGGUGGCGAAGGCGGCCCACUGGAUCGGUACUGACGCUGAGGUGCGAAAGCGUGGGGAGCAAACAGG